UGAGAAGGUAGGAAGGCAAGAAAAUGGGUGUCCGACGAUUGGGGCCGUUACCACGGGCGUUUGACCGACUUUAACUCAUACAGAUCUUGGCUGACAUGCAGGGUAACAACACGAUUUGUAGACGCUACUGUCCGGUGAACGAUGCGUUUGUCCGAUGAACGGGGUAUGCAAGGCUCCGCACAGUUUUCAAUCUCACUCUAGGCAGAGAAGUGGGACUGCGUUCAAAAACCGAUAACUGAGAACUCGCGUCCAGAAUAUGAUGGUGUCCGAGGAACGGGGCCGCGCUCUACCAUCAAAAUGCUAGAAGACACUCGCGAGACGUUGAGUAAAUGUGCUCGUGGGUUAUGAAGCGGGCAUGUAUGCACAUGCAAGGCUGAAGGGACCAACUGCACUCUU